UACGUAGGGUGCGAGCGUUAAUCGGAAUUACUGGGCGUAAAGCGUGCGCGGGCGGUUUUGUAAGCCAGAUGUGAAAUCCCCGGGCUUAACCUGGGAAUGGCAUUUGGGACUGCAAGGCUGGAGUGUGGCAGAGGAGACUGGAAUUCCUGGUGUAGCAGUGAAAUGCGUAGAUAUCAGGAGGAAUACCGAUGGCGAAGGCAGGUCUCUGGGCUGACACUGACGCUCAUGCACGAAAGCGUGGGGAGCAAACAGG
rnacentral:rRNA from 1 species